GUUGGCCGGAAGAAGACGGUUGGGAGAGACACAAAGGCUUCUAAUAGCCUCAUCAUAACUCCCGGGAAGGUCUGAGAGAAGGUCCCUGUGAGAUCUAGGAGAUCUUCCACUAUCCUUAUAGAGGAGAGGCUGUAGAAGAAGAGUUUCCCCCGCGCGGGUUUGGAAACGGCCUCGACCAGCAACUCCAUCGAAUUAGCUGAGUGCGAUCGUCACACCAACACAAUUCAGACUAGUCUUCGGCCAAC
rnacentral:RNase_P_RNA from 13 species